UACGUAGGGGGCAAGCGUUGUCCGGAAUCAUUGGGCGUAAAGCGCGUGUAGGCGGUCCGGUAAGUCCGCUGUGAAAGUCGGGGGCUUAACCCUCGGAUGCCGGUGGAUACUGUCGGGCUUGAGUCCGGAAGAGGCGAGUGGAAUUCCUGGUGUAGCGGUGGAAUGCGCAGAUAUCAGGAGGAACACCAAUAGCGAAGGCAGCUCGCUGGGACGGUACUGACGCUGAGGCGCGAAAGCGUGGGGAGCGAACAGG
rnacentral:rRNA from 1 species